rnacentral:lncRNA from 1 species
UUGCAGCCUGUGAGAGAUUCCCUUCUGCUAUUUCCUGGCUUUUCUGGGGAGGGGGCAAAUGUAGCCCAGAGGUCUCUUCCUUUAGUAGUCCAGUGUAGAGUAGCUGGGACCUGCUGCCAUGUGCACCCCACUACCGUUGGACAACUCUGAAUUGGAUUGUGAAUAGUAGAAUUUCAUCUUUCAUUUCUUGAGACCUUCAAAAGGUGAGCCCUCAAAGGUGGAAGGCCCUUGAGCAGAUGCCUAGGAGGGAAGAUGCUGCUUACAGGGUGUCCCUCUCACCCUUUCGGGGAGGACCUUGCCAAUCUGUGGUACUUUUUGCUCUGAAGAAUACGAAGGAAGUAGUUAGAGGAGGUGAUAAGCCAGUGAAUCUGUUAUCUUCCAUGCAAAGUGCAGAGCAGGUCCCCAAAUGUGGAGUGGGUUGUUCUGAAACAUGCCAUGAAGGAGGGCACAGGCCGGCAAGUUCCCCCUCAGCAUCAAGGAGCAGUGGGUACCAGGGCAGGAGGAGAGCUGCUCCUUUCCCUGGGCCCCCAGCGAAUACCUGCUAGUAGAGUGCCACGUUAGCUGCCACGUGGCAGGAAUGCCAUCCCCUGGGACACCAGGCCAUGAAAUGGCUCCAGUUGGGCAAACAGGAGGAAAACUGGGCAAAUUUCCUGGCUGGAUGGGUUUUAGUGGGGCAGGUGGGAAGGUGAGGAAUGGCUGGAUGUGGCGGUUGGAACAACAGUGCCAGUUGCAAAUCUGCCACCCGCACUUGACAUCUAGCACUUGUCAGUACCCUGAUGUCUGGCUGCAUGUAAGGAACCCUCGGGAUAAAUACAACCAUCUUCCCACCUGGAGUACAUAACCGCCCCUCCAACCCUUCAAGGAAUUCCCAUCUGCCCAAGAUCUGCCCAGAUGUGUUCGUUCUGGGUAAAAUUCUGCCUUCUUUUGCUCUCACACAAUCCUAGUUCUCCAAAAUUGCUUUUGCACAGGUGUGAGGGCAGAAUUGGGCCCACUCUGUUUAAUAUAUAAAUAUAUAUAUAUAAAACAAAUAUAUUUUAUUUAUAUAUGCAAUCCAGUAAAGGAGAUUAAACAGAGUAGGAUGCCUAGUGAUCUGUUACCCAGUCUCCUCCUCCUUCCUUGACUGUUCUCUUGUAUGUAUACAGCACAUUCCCAGGUUCCGGUUUAUGCAGGUAUGCGUGUAUGAAACGUCAUUAAUGGUGGUUGGUCUACAUAUUCGUCUAAUAAAUAAUAACUAAUAUUGUGUAUGUAAUAUCAAUACAGAAAUGACUACUUUUAAUAGAAUUAACUCUUCGGCUUUCGUUCUGUUAGUGUGAUUUAAACAAGCCAACAACGUUCGGAAUAGGUUGUUUUUCCUUAAGAGGCAUGAAAAGCAUCUAUUAUCGUGUUACAAUGUUAAAAUAUUCAGUCUUCUUUGACAGAAAAACGUGUACUGUGUAGGCAUUGCAGCAACAAAAUAGAAAAAGUGAAAAAAAACCCCACCUGCUCCACGGCAUUUGACUUUUUACGGAUGUUUAUUGUGCCAAAUAUGUGCAAAGAUAUAAUUUACUGGUUUAAAAAAGUCAUCGAAGCGUCUGCUAGAGCACACAAAGAAUUAUUUUGUCAUCGAGUGAUUUCAAUCUUCAGUGUUUAUAUUUAGAUUAAUUUUUAUAAAUGAAAAUAUUUUACUGGGCAAAAUGAGGACUAGAUGAUCUAUUUGAUUAAGUCUGAGUGAAUAUUAAGCUUGCCUUGUUGUUGUUAUCUGCAUACUCACCAAGAACUGUCGUCAAGAGGAAUUAUAAAAGAGUAAAAGUGGUUUAUGAACA